ACAACUUACAUUUAACUCGUCCAUUUCAACUACUUUGACCUAAUUAGACAGAAUUAAUUGGGCAAAAUUCAGGAAUCAGUGAAAUUGCAUCAGUGAAUCAUAUCAAA